GACGAACGCUGGCGGCGUGCUUAACACAUGCAAGUCGAACGGAAAGGCCCUGCUUUUGUGGGGUGCUCGAGUGGCGAACGGGUGAGUAACACGUGAGUAACCUGCCCUUGACUUUGGGAUAACUUCAGGAAACUGGGGCUAAUACCGGAUAGGAGCUCCUGCUGCAUGGUGGGGGUUGGAAAGUUUCGGCGGUUGGGGAUGGACUCGCGGCUUAUCAGCUUGUUGGUGGGGUAGUGGCUUACCAAGGCUUUGACGGGUAGCCGGCCUGAGAGGGUGACCGGCCACAUUGGGACUGAGAUACGGCCCAGACUCCUACGGGAGGCAGCAGUGGGGAAUAUUGCGCAAUGGGCGGAAGCCUGAUGCAGCAACGCCGCGUGCGGGAUGACGGCCUUCGGGUUGUAAACCGCUUUCGCCUGUGGCGAAGCGUGAGUGACGGUAAUGGGUAAAGAAGCACCGGCUAACUACGUG
rnacentral:rRNA from 1 species